rnacentral:snRNA from 1 species
AUAAUUAGAUACCAUAAUCAAGAAGGUGCUUCACCCAGGGCGAGGUUCAGCCAUUGCACUUCGGCUGUACUGACCUUUGCGAAUUCCCCAAAUGUGGGAAUCUCGACUGCAUAAUUACUGGUAGUGGGGGACUGCGUCUGCGCUCUCCCCUG